rnacentral:rRNA from 1 species
UACGAAGGGGGCUAGCGUUGCUCGGAAUCACUGGGCGUAAAGCGCACGUAGGCGGCUUUUUAAGUCAGGGGUGAAAUCCUGGAGCUCAACUCCAGAACUGCCUUUGAUACUGAGAAGCUUGAGUCCGGGAGAGGUGAGUGGAACUGCGAGUGUAGAGGUGAAAUUCGUAGAUAUUCGCAAGAACACCAGUGGCGAAGGCGGCUCACUGGCCCGGUACUGACGCUGAGGAGCGAAAGCAUGGGUAGCGAACAGG